UACAGAGGUCCCGAGCGUUGUUCGGAUUCACUGGGCGUAAAGGGUGCGUAGGUGGCUUGAAAAGUUCGAUGUGAAAUCUCCGGGCUUAACCCGGAAAAGGCAUUGAAAACUGGCGAGCUGGAGGUUUGGAGGGGGGACUGGAAUUCUCGGUGUAGCAGUGAAAUGCGUAGAUAUCGAGAGGAACACCAGUGGCGAAGGCGAGUCCCUGGACAACACCUGACACUGAGGCACGAAAGCCGGGGGAGCAAACAGG
rnacentral:rRNA from 1 species